UUUGUUAGAACAUUCAAGGGAUAACAUGUCCAUACCACCUGAAGUGUCUAAGUUUACGAUAAGACGACCCAUUGCAGAUGUGAAUCCUAACCCUGUAUUCAGAGAUUGAUUCACAGCUUAAAGAUCUGGAUAAAGAGAAACCAAGCCAUGUGUCAGUAAUAUGACGAUAUUUUUAAUUAAAA